rnacentral:rRNA from 1 species
GAUGAACGCUGGCGGCGUGCCUAAUACAUGCAAGUCGAGCGAACGGACGAGAAGCUUGCUUCUCUGAUGUUAGCGGCGGACGGGUGAGUAACACGUGGAUAACCUCCCUAUAAGACUGGGAUAACUUCGGGAAACCGGCGCUAAUACCGGAUAAUAUUUUGAACCGCAUGGUUCAAAAGUGAAAGACGGUCUUGCUGUCACUUAUAGAUGGAUCCGCGCUGCAUUAGCUAGUUGGUAAGGUAACGGCUUACCAAGGCAACGAUGCAUAGCCGACCUGAGAGGGUGAUCGGCCACACUGGAACUGAGACACGGUCCAGACUCCUACGGGAGGCAGCAGUAGGGAAUCUUCCGCAAAGGGCGAAAGCCUGACGGAGCAACGCCGCGUGAGUGAUGAAGGUCUUCGGAUCGUAAAACUCUGUUAUUAGGGAAGAACAGAUGUGUAAGUAACUGUGCACAUCUUGACGGUACCUAAUCAGAAAGCCACGGCUAACUACGUG